rnacentral:rRNA from 1 species
CGAAAGUUAGAGGUUCGAAGGCGAUCAGAUACCGCCCUAGUUCUAACCAUAAACGAUGCCAGCCAGCAAUCCGGCUGUGUUCCUCAAAUGACACGCCGGGCAGCUUCCGGGAAACCAAAGCUUUUGGGUUCCGGGGGAAGUAUGGUUGCAAAGCUGAAACUUAAAGGAAUUGACGGAGGGUCACCACCAGGCAUGGAGCUUGCGGUUCAAUUUGACUCAACGCAGCGAACUCUACCAGGCCAGGACACAGGAAGGAUUGACAGAUUGAGAGCUCUUUCUUGAUUCUGUGGGUAGUGGUGCAUGGCCGUUCCUGGUUCGUGGAGCGAUUUGUCUGGUUCAUUCCGAUAACGGACGAGGCUCUAGCCUACUAAAUAGGCGCUCCGAUUCUCCUAGUCGGGCGUUAUCUUCUUAGAGGGACUGGCGGCGUUUAGCCGCACGAGGCAGAGCAAUAACAGGUCUGUAAUGCCCUUAGAUGUCCUGGGCCACACGCGUGCUACAAUGAAGGAAUCAUCGUGUGCUUUCCCUGUCUGAGAGGACUGGGUAACCCGUUGAACUUCUUUCGUGCUUGGGAUAGAGAUUUGCAAUUUUCUCUCUUGAACGAGGAAUUCCUAGUAAGCGUGAGUCAUCAUCUCGCGUUGAUUAGGUCCCUGGCCCUUGUCCACACCGCCCGUCGCUAUUACCGAUUGAAUGAUUUAGUGAGGUCUUCGGACUGGCGCUCGGAUUGGCUUUACGGCCGAGCCGACGUGCCGGAAGAUGACCGAACUUGAUUAUUUAGAGGAAAUAAAAGUCGUAACAAGG